rnacentral:tRNA from 1 species
AGGGAUGUAGCUCAGUUGGUAGAGUGCUUGCCUUGCAAGCCUAAGGCCCUGGGUUCAAUCCCCAGCACCACCA